rnacentral:rRNA from 1 species
UAGGGAAUCUUCCGCAAUGGGCGAAAGCCUGACGGAGCAACGCCGCGUGAGUGAUGAAGGUCUUCGGAUCGUAAAACUCUGUUAUUAGGGAAGAACAAAUGUGUAAGUAACUAUGCACGUCUUGACGGUACCUAAUCAGAAAGCCACGGCUAACUACGUGCCAGCAGCCGCUGUAAUACGUAGGUGGCAAGCGUUAUCCGGAAUUAUUGGGCGUAAAGCGCGCGUAGGCGGUUUUUUAAGUCUGAUGUGAAAGCCCACGGCUCAACCGUGGAGGGUCAUUGGAAACUGGAAAACUUGAGUGCAGAAGAGGAAAGUGGAAUUCCAUGUGUAGCGGUGAAAUGCGCAGAGAUAUGGAGGAACACCAGUGGCGAAGGCGACUUUCUGGUCUGUAACUGACGCUGAUGUGCGAAAGCGUGGGGAUCAAACAGG